rfam:Apaloderma vittatum contig14822, whole genome shotgun sequence.
GGACCGGUUAACUCAGUCAGUUGAGCGUAGCGCUAGCAACGCUAAGGUCACGGGUUCGAUUCCUGUUCGGUCCC